UACAAGUGGAAGGAGGAAGAUGGUCAAAUUUAGAAGCUAGCAAGUCUAGGUGCUCCCGUGAAAGAAUGUUGAAAAACCUUGUACAUAUAUAGAAAAGAUUAAUAUGUAUGACUGUAUUAGCUGUGUCACAUGAACUUUUCUCUUUAUAUUAUAAUAUUGUUUUCCCUAUAAAUUAUGGUCCAAUCUUGCUUAGCUAGCUAAAAUUGUACCAUGAUGAAAACAUCUAUCAUCGCUUUUCUUCUCCUGCAUACCAUUUUGCUCCAUCCUCUCGUUCUUGCUCGACAGCUAAUUGAGCUUGAAGGAAAAGGUGGCCUCAGGCAUGAAAUUACUAACGUUGAGGGCAAUGAUGGGAGCAAUGGCAGGAUUUGGAUGCCUCCAAUAAGACGCUGCUUUGGCGGAAUCGGCCGUGGAUGCGUGCUGCCACCCCCAUCACCGGUGACUAAUUGCGGAGCCAACCAACGCUGCUAUCCUCCACCAACAAAUUAAGGAUUAGUGCUGUGUAGUCUCGCAAUGAAAUUGUAAUCAGCUGCUGGUGGAAUUAAUUUUGAAGUUAAUCUAAAAAACUCAUUUUGUUUUUCGAAGUGCUCGUAUAAUGUAUUAAUAUUAUAAUUAUUCCAAGUCUUUAGAUACAAAUUCAAGAAUUUUCUCACUAAUUGGGUUCAAA